CCAUGGGAUGCAGCACUUCCAGCAGGGCAAUUGUUGAGGAGCCAUCAUCCAAGGGUCCACAUCACAGCACAGAAGCCAACAAGCAGGCGAAAAAAGAAGCAUCUCUUGGAACACGUGGCGUUAUUUCUGAACGUGGGUCAGGAAUUGAAGAUGAUGCCCAUGAAGGAAGAUUGCCAGAAGACUGUACAGAACAGUUACCAUCUGCUAAAGAAGAAAAUAAUGAACAAAAUAUAGACGUCAGAGCUGGACUUCCCAUGAAACCAGUAAGCUUAACAGAAAGCGAAAGACAGACAUCAUCUGACAUUUUGGAGGAGCUUCGGAUGCAAGGAAUAAUCAAGACCCCUGGUGCAACUUCUAAAAAUAGAAUAGCAGAUGACACCAUGUUGGUACAUUUAGGAGGGCCACUACAGAAACCACCAGCCAAACUGGAAAAGCUUGAAAACAAAAAGAAGAAAGAACAUAAUUUAACAAUAGAGAGCACUGAAAACAAGACCACUUUUCUUGAAAAUAGAAGAAAGCCACUAAUCUGACCCACUUUCCUAUAGUGUCUAAAUACUUAAUAAUCAAAAAUGUAUGUAUUAU